AAGUAUCAAAUGGCGUGCCAGCGGUUGCGGUUAUACGAUUAUUUAAGAAAAUAAUUUAUAAGGUAAAAUUCAAUUUUUUCAUUCAUUAAAUUUUAAGGUGAAAUUUAAAAUUUGAUUCUAAAGAAAGUUUAAUCUUUGAAAUUUUAAAAAGAAGAGGAUUAGAUACCCUUUUAUUAAAAAGAAAGGUAUUGCUUGUUGACCAAUAAACCUAAUUUUUUUGGCGGUUUAACUUCUUUUUAGAGGGGCUUGUUUUGUAAUCGAUAGUCCCCGCUUAGUCUUACUUACAUUCUUAUUUUAUAUACCUCCGUUUAAGAUGAAAUUUGGUUAUUUCUUCUUUUAAAAAUAUUAGAUAAAUCAGGUCAAGGUUUAAACCAUAUGUAAGAAAAAAUUAGCCACAUAUUUUAUUAUUCUUUAAAGAAUAACUUUUAGGAUUUAAAAGUAAAUAAAAAAUAGAACUUUUUUUUGAUUAAGUUAAGUUAAAUGUACAUAUCGCCCGUCACUCUUGAAAAAGAUAAGUCGUAACAAAGUAGAGGUAUCGGAAGAUGCCUCUU
rnacentral:rRNA from 1 species